rnacentral:rRNA from 1 species
UACGUAGGGUGCAAGCGUUGUCCGGAAUUAUUGGGCGUAAAGAGCUCGUAGGCGGUCUGUCGCGUCUGCCGUGAAAACUCGGGGCUUAACCCCGGGCCUGCAGUGGGUACGGGCAGACUAGAGUGCGGUAGGGGAGACUGGAAUUCCUGGUGUAGCGGUGAAAUGCGCAGAUAUCAGGAGGAACACCGGUGGCGAAGGCGGGUCUCUGGGCCGAUACUGACGCUGAGGAGCGAAAGCGUGGGGAGCAAACAGG